CGCCGACGAAGAGGAGAGAGCGAACCGUGCCGUCCGUGAAGCCUGGCUCGCCAUCGUCCGUGCUCAUCGCCACCGAGGGUUCACCGCUGGUGAGGAGAAGACGCCGUCGCCCGUCGCUGUUGCUGUAGCUGUCCGCGCCGUUGUCAUCGCCGAAGGGAGCUAGCAUCGCCGCCGUCCAUGGAGGAAGCAGAGGAGACAGAUCCGCGAGGAAGGGAGGACCGCGACCUGUCCAGCCGUCGUUCCCUGUCGCCGCUCGUGUCGCCGGCGCCGUCCUCGUCCGAACCGUUGCUAGAUCCGCCGCUGUUGAAGCUUCUGGCCGUGCCUCUGCGUCGCCAGAGCUCCACGCCACCGCUGUCGCCGCCGAAAACCAUCUCUAAAGCCUGUUUGCUUGGAUAUUCGGUCACCACGAGUUUCUCUGCCGCCGUCCAAGCUGCCACCAGAAGGAUCCACCACAGCCUCCUCUGUUCUUGUCUUUGAAUUAGAACUGCCCUUUUCCAAUCUCAAUCUCAAUUCUGCUAAUUCUGAAUAUGUAUGUUUGAAAAAUUAAAAUGGGUGCUGCUGCCAUUGUUUCGGUCACAUUGGAAUCACUGCUGCUGCCAUAAAACAGAAAGGGAAGGGAGUUACUAUGUUUAACCUGUGUGAAUUCAGCUAGUUGAGCUUUACCUUUUCAGGAACCGGAUGAAGAAGCAUUAAGAAAAGUUAUACUGCGUUU